GGAAACACUGAAAUGAGUGUGUCAUUAACUAAGGAUUAUUAUUAAUCUAAUAUUGUAUAUCUGAGGUCCUAA
ensembl:snoRNA